rnacentral:lncRNA from 1 species
GCUAUGCCUAUGCUGAGACUGCUGUUUUUUCACAUGCCCCUGCUUCUCCUGUGUUCCUGCAGUAGCACACUGCCGGUGGUAAAUGAAUCCCCAAGUAUGAAUGCUUCACAGAACAAAGUUUAAUUUCCCCUCCCACAAAGUCCAGUGCAGAUUGUGCAGCCCUCCGGAACACUUGUCUUGGUAUUAACCACAUCUUUUAUUUCCUGCAUUCCAAUGCUCUGACAUCUGGGGCCUCGCUGACCCCCUAGAGUUAGCCAAUUUCUAGAGAUACAAGUUGCCAUGACAGCACUUUUCAGAUGCAAACAACCCACCCAAACCAAACAAAGCCUUCUUUUCCCUCCACCUCCUAACUGACCUUGGUGCUUCCCCGUGUGGCUCUGUGUGGCGUGGCAGGCGGUGUCCCCUCCUCCUGGGAACUGCUUCCACUGAGUGACUCAGCGAUCCAGUCUGCUUUCAUAGGUGGCUCUAAUGAGGCAGAAAUUUAAAAAUAAAUAUGCAUUCAUUCACUCCAAGAAAAGUAACAGGCAAGGGUUCACAAGAAAAAAAGAAGUUUUCCUCUGCCUAGCAAGCACACUUCAAGGACAGUUAUAAGAUAAUGCUGUACGAGCAGCCAAGGCCAAAGGAAUGGGCUUCAGACACCCCUCUCCCCCAGAGCAAUGUUGAAGGAAAAAAAAAGAGAAAAAGAUAAAUUACUUUACUGUUACUCCUUUCCCAGGCUUCUUAAACGUGAUUAUGUUUUACAAAUGUCUGUAUUUAGCCAGUUCUUGUUUUUCUUUUGACGCAGCUACAAGGCCACAAAUUAUACACUAUAUGAUUAACUGCUUUUGUUUUACUUUUGUAAGUCUGCUUAUAAAAACCCCACUCAGUCGUUGUUCAAUGCUCAGCUUUUUGGAUGCGAAUCCACUGAGCCAGUGCGUACCUAAAAUAAACAAUCCUCCCGUUCUCCGUAUCGGUCUCUCUGGUUCUCAGUUUCUCGCAAUGCUAACACCUCAACCUGUGGCCCCCACAAUUGUCGUGGCAGGGAACACAGACCAGGGACAUCUUGCACCAGCUCUAAAA